CCUACGGUGGACAGCAGUGAGGAAUAUUGGUCAAUGGCCGGAAGGCUGAACCAGCCAUGCCGCGUGAAGGUCAGUGCCCUAUGGGCGUUAAACUUCUUUUGUGCGGGAGCAAUAAUGGUCACGUGUGGCCAGACGAGAGUACCGUACGAAUAAGCAUCGGCUAACUCCGUGCCAGCAGGCGCGGUAAUACGGGGGAUGCAACCGUUAUCCGGAUUUAAUGGGUUUAAAGGGUGCGUAGGCUGUGAGGGAAGUCAGCGGUGAAAUGCCCCCGCUCAACGGGGUGAAGUGCCAUUGAGACUGCCUAGCUGGAAUGCGGAUGCCGUGGGAGGAAUGUGUGGUGUAGCGGUGAAAUGCAUAGAUAUCACACAGAACACCGAUUGCGAAGGCAUCUCACGAAUCCGCGAUUGACGCUGAUGCACGAAAGCGUGGAGAUCAAACAGGAGUAGAUACCCCAGUAGUC
rnacentral:rRNA from 1 species